rnacentral:sRNA from 1 species
ACCGGGAGAAAAUUGGUUUAAAUCCUUAGAAAAUAAAAAAGCCUCUCCUUUGAGAGGCUUUUUUAUUGGG